rnacentral:lncRNA from 10 species
CGCAGACGUCCCUUCCCCAGCCAGGCUGCCACCUCGCAGUUCAAUCUCAGACUGCUGUGCUAGCAGUGGGGAAGGCUCCGUGGGCAUGGAAACUGCCGAGCCAGGCACAGUAGAGAAUCACCUUGUCUGCCGGUUGCUAAGACCUUUGGAAAAGUGCAGUAUUUGGGUGAGAGUGUCCUAUUUUUCCAGGUACAGUCUGUCACGUCUUCCCUUGGCUAGGAAAGGGAAAUCCCCCGACCCCUUACACUUUCCGGGUGAGGCAACGCCCCACUCUGCUUCAGCUCACCCUCCAUGGGCUGCACUCACCUUCCAACCAGUCUCAAUGAGAUGAACCAGGUACCUCAGUUGGAAAUGCAGAAAUCACCCGUCUUCUGCGUCAAUCACGCUGAGAACUGCAGACCAGAGCUGUUCCUAUUUGGCCAUCUUGGAACCGGUCUGAGUCUGUUUUAGCCAGAUCAAGUACUUGGUGAGAGAACCUUUGUGGGAGCGCAGAAGUCCAGCAGAGAGACCCUAGCACUUUAUUUGGACCAAAAAAUAAAUAAUAAAUAAAUAAAUAAAUAAAUCCAAAACUAGAUGCAUUAAAGAAGGUAAGAACAGUUUUACUUUACCUGUGUCACCCCUCCCCCAGUGUGGCACAGAUCAGUGCCAAGAGAGACCGCUUCAGCCCAGUUUCUUCCACAGGGGAAAAUGAGAACAGUGAGUGCCUAAUUUCCUCAGCUGUAGGAUGCUGUAGAAGAGACCCACUUCUGCCUCACCCAUUUGAGAACCCUGAGGGAAUCAGUAUGGCUGAAUAAUCUGGGGGUAGCUAGGAGCAGGGAAAAGGGGCAGCACUCACAGCAACCUGAGUAUGGAAUUCAGCAAAGAGCCACAGUUUCUAUUAACUACCUCCCAA